AUGGCAAAAUUCUGGUGGGGGAGUUCUGUGGAUCGACGUUCUCUUCACUGGAUCGCUUGGGACAAGCUUGCUACACCAAAGAUCAAGGAAGGGAUGGGUUUUAGAGACCUACGACAGUUUAACUUAGCCCUUCUUGGGAAGCACGGCUGGAGGUUUCUAACAAAACCAGACGCUCUCUGUACCAGAGUGAUGAAGGGAAGGUAUUUUCCAGACUGUGAUUUUAUGCAAGCAUCAACACCCAAAUCUGCAUCAGCCACCUGGAGGGCCAUCAUCGCCGAGCGUGCAACCCUCAGUGUUGAUCUUGUAAAACGUAUUGGUGAUGGGGUUUCUACCUCGGUAUGGGAUGACCGAUGGAUCCCAUCGACUAUUUCUAUGAGGCCUCUGUUCAGGCCACCAUCAACUACAGUCACUAUGGUUAGUGACCUAAUUGACUCGGAUAAUUGGACCUGGAAGCGUGAUCUAAUUCGAGUGACUUUUAUCACACCGGACGCGGAGGCAAUUCUUAAUAUUCCACUCCGUCAGGGUGGCGGGGAGGACUUCCUUGCUUGGACACAUGAGAGAUCCGGCAUCUACUCCGUUAAAACAGCCUACCGAGCUCUAGUGAAUCAGAACGAGCGUUUAGCUCUAGAAGAAGGGCAGGUAGCGGGACCAUCAACGAAUGAGGAGCAGAUGUGGAGUCGCUUAUGGAAACUCAAAGUUGUCCCAAAAGUCAGAGUAUUCUGA
rnacentral:rRNA from 1 species